rnacentral:rRNA from 31 species
UCGCGACCCCAGGUCAGGCGGGACU